rnacentral:rRNA from 1 species
GAACGCUAGCUACAGGCUUAACACAUGCAAGUCGCAGGGUAACAUGAGGAAAGCUUGCUUUCCUUGAUGACGACUGGCGCACGGGUGAGUAACGCGUAUCCAACCUUCCCAUAACUACGGGAUAACCCGUUGAAAGACGGCCUAAUACCGUAUGAUAUCGUUUGCUGACAUCAAAUAACGAUUAAAGGUUUGGCGGUUAUGGAUGGGGAUGCGUCUGAUUAGCUUGUUGGCGGGGUAACGGCCCACCAAGGCUACGAUCAGUAGGGGUUCUGAGAGGAAGGUCCCCCACAUUGGAACUGAGACACGGUCCAAACUCCUACGGGAGGCAGCAGUGAGGAAUAUUGGUCAAUGGGCGAGAGCCUGAACCAGCCAAGUAGCGUGCAGGAUGACGGCCCUAUGGGUUGUAAACUGCUUUUAUGUGGGGAUAAAGUGCGCGACGUGUCAUGCAUUGCAGGUACCACAUGAAUAAGGACCGGCUAAUUCCGUGCCAGCAGCCGCGGUAAUACGGAAGGUCCGGGCGUUAUCCGGAUUUAUUGGGUUUAAAGGGAGCGUAGGCUGUCU